GCAGCUUCUCUCCACCACCACCAGUGCCGCCGUGUCUCUGCUUCUCCGAUGAACUAUACAGACCAACGCCAACCGACGAAACAUCUUUCACCAACGUAUUCGCCCAUGAAACUGCUGGCUCAUUCAUCGGUACGCCAUUUCUAAACCCAAAAGAUGCAGACUUUUUGAGCUUGUUAGCAUCCUCACCAUUAAACCCCCACUCCAGUUUCCCGUCAGGCGAACCCCACUGCGAAAAUUGUGGACUCAUGGCGCCUGAACCUGCCGUGCCUCGGUCAAUGAAGCUCUGGCUACGUUGUUUCGAGAACGCACCAGACCUUGAAUUGAUCACCGCCUGAGCAACCGCCGCCGAUGAAU
rnacentral:lncRNA from 1 species